GACGAACCGUGCGAACGUUGUUCGGAUUCACUGGGCUUAAAGGGCGCGUAGGCGGGCAGUCAAGUCAGGGGUGAAAUCUUUCGGCUUAACCGGAAAACAGCCCCUGAUACUGGCUGUCUCGAGGGAGGUAGGGGCAUGUGGAACUGGUGGUGGAGCGGUGAAAUGCGUAGAUAUCACUAGGAACGCCGGUGGCGAAAGCGACGUGCUGGACCUCUUCUGACGCUGAGGCGCGAAAGCCAGGGGAGCAAACGGG
rnacentral:rRNA from 1 species